GCGGAACACGUGUGCAACCUGCCUUUAUCUGAGGGAUAGCCUUUCGAAAGGAAGAUUAAUACCUCAUAAUAUACUGAUUGGCAUCAAUUGGUAUUGAAAGCUCCGGCGGAUAGAGAUGGGCACGCGCAAGAUUAGAUAGUUGGUGAGGUAACGGCUCACCAAGUCAAUGAUCUUUAGGGGGCCUGAGAGGGUGAUCCCCCACACUGGUACUGAGACACGGACCAGACUCCUACGGGAGGCAGCAGUGAGGAAUAUUGGACAAUGGGUGCAAGCCUGAUCCAGCCAUCCUGCGUGAAGGACGACGGCCCUAUGGGUUGUAAACUUCUUUUGUACAGGGAUAAACCUACCCUCGUGAGGGUAGCUGAAGGUACUGUACGAAUAAGCACCGGCUAACUCCGUGCCAGCAGCCGCGGUAAUACGGAGGGUGCAAGCGUUAUCCGGAUUUAUUGGGUUUAAAGGGUCCGCAGGCGGGCUAGUAAGUCAGUGGUGAAAGCCUACAGCUUAACUGUAGAACUGCCGUUGAUACUGCUAGUCUUGAGUAUAGUUGAGGUAGCUGGAAUGAGUAGUGUAGCGGUGAAAUGCAUAGAUAUUACUCAGAACACCGAUUGCGAAGGCAGGUACCAAGUUAUAACUGACGCUGAGGGACGAAAGCGUGGGGAGCGAACAGGAUUAGAUACCCUGGUAGUCCACGCCGUAAACGAUGCUAACUCGUUUUUGGGCUUUAGGGUUCAGAGACUAAGCGAAAGUGAUAAGUUAGCCACCUGGGGAGUACGACCGCAAGGUUGAAACUCAAAGGAAUUGACGGGGGCCCGCACAAGCGGUGGAUCAUGUGGUUUAAUUCGAUGAUACGCGAGGAACCUUACCAAGGCUUAAAUGGGAAUUGACAGCUGUAGAAAUACGGUUUUCUUCGGACAAUUUUCAAGGUGCUGCAUGGUUGUCGUCAGCUCGUGCCGUGAGGUGUUAGGUUAAGUCCUGCAACGAGCGCAACCCCUGUCACUAGUUGCCAUCAUUAAGUUGGGGACUCUAGUGAGACUGCCUACGCAAGUAGCGAGGAAGGUGGGGAUGACGUCAAAUCAUCACGGCCCUUACGCCUUGGGCCACACACGUGAUACAAUGGCCGGUACAGAGGGCAGCUACACUGCGAAGUGAUGCAAAUCUCGAAAGCCGGUCUCAGUUCGGAUUGGAGUCUGCAACUCGACUCUAUGAAGCUGGAAUCGCUAGUAAUCGCGCAUCAGCCAUGGCGCGGUGAAUAC
rnacentral:rRNA from 1 species